rnacentral:rRNA from 1 species
UACGUAGGGUCCGAGCGUUGUCCGGAAUUACUGGGCGUAAAGAGCUCGUAGGUGGUUUGUCGCGUUGUUCGUGAAAACUCACAGCUCAACUGUGGGCGUGCGGGCGAUACGGGCAGACUUGAGUACUGCAGGGGAGACUGGAAUUCCUGGUGUAGCGGUGGAAUGCGCAGAUAUCAGGAGGAACACCGGUGGCGAAGGCGGCUCUCUGGAACGGUACUGACGCUGAGACGCGAAAGCGUGGGGAGCGAACAGG